rnacentral:rRNA from 1 species
UACGUAGGGGGCAAGCGUUGUCCGGAAUCAUUGGGCGUAAAGCGCGUGUAGGCGGCCAGAUAAGUCCGCUGUGAAAUCUCGAGGCUCAACUUCGAGCUGUCGGUGGAAACUGUCUGGCUAGAGUCCGGAAGAGGAGAAUGGAAUUCCUGGUGUAGCGGUGAAAUGCGUAGAUAUCUGGAGGAAUACCGGUGGCGAAGGCGGCAUCCUGGACCAUUACUGACGCUUAAGCGCGAAAAGCUAGGGGGAGCAAACGGGG